rnacentral:lncRNA from 1 species
CACGUCAUUGAGAAUUCAGUAUUAAGAGUAUACUGCUUUUCUGUACAUGUAACUUGCGGAGAUCUUAUUUUCCAAAUCAACUGUAAGUAUAUUAAAUACAAGAACUGAAAAUAAGAUGUCAAUAUGUCAACUUGGUGAAAAUUAACUUAAAUCUUUGCUGACCAAUAACAUUGGUACUGAUAACCAAGUUUUUAAAAGAAAACAAGGAAAAUAAGUAGACCACUUUCGAGAUCGUUACAAUCCAGUCAAAAACUUUGUCUAUAGAAAACAUGUUUGGUAUCUUAAGAGGCAUCUUCGUUUUAUUCCCAUAUGUAAAUAUAUUAAACCAGCGAUUACAAAAUUAUGAUUUUAUAUAGCUCGAAUAUUGCAGAGGUUCAAAACAUAUGAUUCUAUAAUGCACUAAUAUUUCGACGAAUCAAAAUAUUAUAAUUGAUCAUCACUACUGCUCCCAUUUUGGAAUUGUGAUUAAGUACCUAAGGAACAAAUAUUAUUUCUAGUUUAAUUUGCAUAGUAACAAUAGCGAGGACGCUAGGUGAACUUUAAUAAUGCAAGGAUACAGACGACCCUUUGUAUCUGGUAAAUGACGUUAUAAAAGCGCACAUAGUUGCAAAGUUUUCAAGAAAAGAACAUAACUUGAAAGUGGUCUAUUCAUAAUUGUAGCAUAUUUCGUGCAUAACUUAUCGUUUAUAGAAGAAAUCAAUCGUAGCUAGAAACAAUUUGAAUGACGCCAGUAAGUUUUGAAACUCAUGUCCGUAACUGAGAUAAAAAUCUUUACUAAAUUCUUUCAAAGAUGCCAAGAUUUGGUUAGCAACUUUUGCUGUAUAUGUAUUCAAUUAGUUAUUAUUGGCUUUGAACUAGCUGUCAGUAACUCCAAGUAAUUAUGUACAUAGUGUAUUUUGAGUUGUUAGGGAUGUAGGAUGGAUAUAUACCCUGUCAAGUCCGUUCUAUGCUUUUGUAUACUGAUUUUCUAUAUGUGCAUGUUCCAAAUCAGGAGCCUGUGGUUUAGUGGUCGUCGUUUGUUUACGUCUGUAGACUGACUUAGAUUUUCCAUAACAUUUCGCAUGUUAUACAAUUUAAAUACGGGAAUAGAUGGGUUGACUCUAAAAAAAAAGUUAUAAAUGUUUGCUUAAAAUUAAAUGACAGAUAUUUCGUGCAUGUUCCAAAUAAUCCGGAUAAAGUUUCUGUAAUGUUACUAGAAACAAUGUUUCUAUACCAUAUAUGACUUUUGGAGUGUUAACGUUUCUCUGUACUGAGUUUUAAGUCAGUUAAAAUAUAUGACAAUAUUUUCAAUAUAUAAGAUCUUUGUGUCUUCUUGCAGUCGAGUUUUAGUGACCCUCUGCGAAAUAGGGAUUAUGUCUUUUUUAAAGUCAUUCAUACGGUCAUUGUAUGUACAUUUGUAUUGAUAUAAUAGUUAUUUCCAAUGAAAACAGCCCAAUAGCUUUUUUUAAGAAAUUUUUCAUUUUGAAAACUAUUCAUCCUACCAAAAAAAUUGACUUGUAUUGCUAUAUCCCUAUCAUUAUGAUGAUUUUCUAUUGCUAUGAAUCAUCGAUCGUAACGAUAAAAAUACAAUAUGAAGCCCCAAGAAACAGUAGUGAGUGAUUUGAUCUAUCAGUUACGGAUAUCGAUUACUUUUUGUUAUUCAUUAUUGCGAUAAAAACCUGAUUCUUUUUUUAGCGAAUGAAUUCUUUAAUAAACGGUAUUUGCAAAUAAAAGAACAGUAGUAUAUUCAUAAAUCGAUUGAGAGAAAACAACACAGGUUUAUAAACAAAACCCAAAGGGUACACAUCAACUAUUAGAAGAAAAGAACAAAGAUACUGAAGUGCAACAAAAACAAACACCAAAGCUACAUACAUAGAAAAGAACUAUUUAAUGACAACUGCCAAAUUAUUGACAUGCUACAGGACAUUUUAAGUCAAAAUGGCGGAUUGAACCUGUGUUUGAAGAGAUUCGUUCAUGCGGCUCUUUUAUUUUGGUUAUUGUUACUAUGAUUUUUACAUUUUUCAGAUAUGUGGCCCUGAUUUCUUGUUAUAACUAAAGAUAUGAAGUAUUUUGUCGUGGUAUUGGUAUUUUCACUUUUUGCUACAGGUAACAAAAGUUUAGAUAUCCCAUGCAUGUAGUUUACUGUACACUUACAGUUUGUACCAUUAUUAGAUUUGCCUGCGCUUGAAAUGAUAUGCUAUGAUAGCUAUUUUCUGAACAAACUAGUGAUGAUCAUGAAGUAAUACAUCGUGUAUACUUUAAUACUCAUUGUUUUACACAUGUAAAGUUCACAUCGUUAAAUUGAUUAAAAUUAAAGAACAAGACUUUAUAGUUCUGAUCUGACGAGUCAAGCCUUUUCCGAUUGAUUUGCAUUAUUUAUUCUUAUGAUGUGAUGUUACCAUACUGUCUCAGGAAGUGGAGGGUUAAACGCUCAAUCACCAGUUUAACAUUUAUUCGUGCCAUUUAGGCCUACGUUUGCUUGAUUUUUUUCAUUGAAUAUGAUAUUCUUCGGCACAGAUGAAAAUGUGUCUACCGACAUCUGUAGGUCUGGCCUUUGAAGAAACAUGUUAAUGAUUUUUGAUUUUCUUUUUUGAAUUUUCCUCGGAGUUCAGUAUUUUUGUGUUUUUACUUUUUAAUGAAAACAUACAUAAAGAAUUGGCAUGUAAUAUAUUUGUUUGUGAACAUAAGUAAGCCGGUUAUAUCGUGUAUUAAAUAAAAAUAACAAUCGUAUUUUCAGGAUUGCACGCUGCAAAAAAACGGCAUAUGGGCGACUUUAAUUUUGACCAGUUUUGUCCUCAUGACCCCGCCAGUUGUAAUGGAUGGUGUGUUCGCUUUUUAUUUGAUUUAGGAAGGUGUGAAGGGCCUGGAAACAACCAGUGUUGGUGUUAUUGGUAUCUUAAGUAAGUAAUUCAAACGCAAGUAUAUUUGACUUUGAUUGUUUUUUCAUAGAACGAUUUAAUGAAAAAUAGAAAUGAUAUGGUUUGUAGCAUGUUAUUACUGACAACAAAUGCUUGAGCAACACGAAUUCAAAAGAUUUGGCUGGGAAAGGGGAUGAUUAGCAAUUCCGGCUUACGAGUGGCACAUGAAGGGUUGCUAAUUGCAAGUAGAAAUGCGCUCAUAACUCGGUCAGAUUAAACUUAAGAAAAGGACAGGAUUGUAGCUACGCGAAAUGAAAAAUAUUUAUUGACAUGUACAUUUGUAUCACUUCGGCAAACAAAUUAAAAAUCAUUAAGUUUAUAGCUUGAUUGAAAACAGUAUCAGAAAUAUAAUGAAUUGAAGCACAUGCCCUUGACUUUAUAAGCAACUGGAAUAUAUGUAAUCAAUAUGUAGGCAAUUCUAGAUAUUUGCAACAUGGAAGUUGAAAUUCACAAUGAAACAAUUGAAAUGAUCUGUUUUGUCGUAAAGCUAAGUUAUAAAACCCUCCUUCCCUCUCUAAAUGUAGGUCAAGAUAUGAUGCAUAUUUAACUAUGUCUAUGGUUUCUUUUUACUAAGCUGUAUUUGGCAAAACUUUUCGGAAUUUUGAUCAUCAAAGCUAUUUAACUUUGUACUUUAUUUGGCCUUUUUAACUGAUUCGAGCGUCACUGAUGAGUCUUUGGUAGACGAAACGCGCGUCUGGCUUAAAUACAAAAGUUAAUCUUGGUAUCUAUGAUGAGUUUAUUUUCAGUGUAACAGAUUCAUAACAGUCAUUGCUUUGUGACGUACAUAAUUUAUAAAAUACUUUUGUUUUAUAAAUUCAUGACUUUCGUUGUAUGUAAAUUAACCUACAAAGAUAAAUUGUGCUGUUUUUCCGUUUAGUCAAAUUGCUAUUCAUAUAAUCAUUUAAUACCUUCUGAAGAUAAACCAGCAGGAAAAAAGUUCAUAUUGCAUGGAUUGUUUUGAAUGUUUUUUAUAUGCAAUCAACAUAAUCAGGAAAAUUAAAGAUUAUUGUACACAGUAGGACCUAAUCUUGAAUUUAACUUUUAAAAUACUACUUUCUUUCGAUCAUUCUUAUUGGGUAAUUCCUGUAUGGAAACUGCAUCGUACAAAUACAGAUACAAAUCGACAAAAACAGUGAACACAGUUUGUCCCCCUCAGAAUGCCAAUUCGUCGUUGAAUAACACGUCCUCAUAUAACAUCUAACAUAACAAUAAUGUUGUCACUUAAGAAAAUAUAUCUAAAGCAAGUUUCGAUUUUGUUUAAAUGAGAGUGUAUUGUUUUUACAGAAUGGGGUUUCCCUUUUUAAACUAAAACAUGUACCGUUAUAUCUAAGAACGACUAUUAUCUAUAAAACAAAAUUGGUCAAGUUCCUUCAAUCUGUCUUGGAAGUUUAGAAUGGGGAAGUAUUACAGUAGAGUAGAAUGAAAUCUGUUUGAAAACACUUCAUACACUAGUCUAUAUAUAUAUAUAUAUAUAUAUAUAUAUGACAUGCAGUUCGGUUAUUCAUGGAUGAUGAUAUCAGUUUAACAAUACAUUAUCAAUGAACUUUUUAUUUUUAUUUUCAGAAAACCUAGUCUUCAGGGAAAGUCAGCAAUUUCCUAAGACAAAUAACACUGUUUACAAUGAAU